UGGGGAAUAUUGGGCAAUGGGCGCAAGCCUGACCCAGCAACGCCGCGUGAAGGAAGAAGGCUUUCGGGUUGUAAACUUCUUUUAAGAGGGAAGAGAAGAAGACGGUACCUCUUGAAUAAGCCACGGCUAACUACGUGCCAGCAGCCGCGGUAAUACGUAGGUGGCAAGCGUUGUCCGGAUUUACUGGGUGUAAAGGGCGUGCAGCCGGGCUGACAAGUCAGAUGUGAAAUCCCGCGGCUUAACCGCGGAACUGCAUUUGAAACUGUCAGUCUUGAGUACCGGAGAGGUCAUCGGAAUUCCUUGUGUAGCGGUGAAAUGCGUAGAUAUAAGGAAGAACACCAGUGGCGAAGGCGGAUGACUGGGCGGCAACUGACGGUGAGGCGCGAAAGCGUGGGGAGCAAACAGGAUUAGAUACC
rnacentral:rRNA from 1 species